GGCAACACUUGCAGCCUGCCUCCAGUCCAGUCUGAACACAAACAAUGCAUUUCACUGUAUUUCCAUUAAAGUGUGACGUUCACACCAUCAGGCUGGAGGUUAUCCAAACAGAUUGGGGUGUCGCUGCUGCGUCAUAGGAGGAGACCCUGGCCUGAUACAUUGGAAUGGGAAGUCAAAUUGAACAAACUCAAUGAGUGAGCCUCCACAACUCCAAACUCAAGAAUUCCAAAAGUUCACCACACAGUAGUUUUUUUUUUCCUAACUUUCUAAAUCCCCACAGUAGGAUCACCAGUGCAAGUGAAAUUUUUAUAGUUGGAUUUCUCCAUUAUUGCAGUUAUACAUUAUAAAGAUCAAUGUUGCCCUGAUAAAAUCUGUAGCCUAUCUAAUACAAAUCCCUCCACAAUCCAGAACUUUUGUAUGAACAGCGGGAUAUCAUAUCCUGUGAUGCAUGUGACAGCAUUGCGCAACAUCUCAGACAGGCUCAGAAGAGUGGUUCAGAAGUGAAGACACUGCUGGAGAAAGGUUGCAACUCCUUGUCUGGAACCCAACGUUCUCUGUGUGAAAACUUCGUUCAAUCUUACAAAAAAGAGCUUAGCAAAUUGCUUCAAAAGUCCCAGGAGGAAAAGGACAUUUGUCGGGAACUGGACCUCUGUGUAAGGAAACAGACUGAACGACUGCUUGGAGAGAAUGAAUGUACUUGGGGACCAGCACAGUGGUGUAAGGACCGAAAAACAGCUGACAAGUGUCAUAAACCAGAGGUGAUGUGCUCCACUCUGGGACUGUGCAAGUCUCUGUCACAGUUUCCCCAGCAGGAAGUGCGCUCCAACACCAUCCCUGAGCAGCAACCAAGCCUGGCCCACCUGCUUCCGUCUCGUCUGUAUCCUGCAAGCCGGAUACCUCAGCAGGGCAGCGCGACGCAACUUGCAGCGGCCACUCCGGAACUGAUUAUCUGUUAUUUGUGAAGUGGGGUGCCGUGCGCAAUCAUAAUCGAUUGUAAACCGACGUGGGAGCACGGAGGAACAUCGGGAAAUCUCCAGGAAGACCUUCUUCGUUGCUGCUGCUGUUGUGAGGUCCGGGACUCUGCUGGGAAGUACAGGCCCCCAGUCCUCGGGGUCGCGUUGCCGAUGGCCAUUGGCGGGGCCCUCUUAACACGCUCGGCAGAGGAUGGUGCUUGGAAAAACUGUACCGGAGGGGAUGGUCGGAGGCUCGGAGAUUCAACGGACUCGGAGUCCGCUGCGGACAGGUCGUUUUCGGUGUGUGCUGUGUCUGCGAGGCUGAGUCGGGCGGCGCCGUGGAAGUCCAUAGUGGGGGUAUUCCCUUUUGCCGCCGGCAUGGAAUGGCAAGUCUGUCAGGAUCCUGGGGACUUGUGGAAACUGUGUGGUGAUUUCUUUUGAACUUAUAGUCCUUUAACGUCUUUGGACUAUUUUUACCGUGUCCAUGGUCUGUUUUUUUUUUAUCAAUUAUGCAAUUGUUUGCACUGUUGUAACUAUAUUUUGUAACUAUGUGGUUUUGUGCAGGUUUUGUAGCUUUAGUUUUUGGUCUUGUUUUGUCUGGGGAGCUCCUUUCCGGGGAACGCGCUAGAUGGUAGCGCAAUAUUAACACGCAGCAGCCUCUCCGGACACUGGAUUGGGGAUUGCUAAACGUUAUGUGGAUUUUCUGGUGUAGUCUGUUUUGUCAUAUGCUUUUGUGAUAUCAUUCUGGAGGAACGUUGUCUCAUUUUUUAACUGCAUUGCAUUUGUGGUUUCUAAAUGACAAUAAACUUAGUCUGAAUCUGAACUGUAGCAUGCCCUUUGGCCUUGGGGCAUCCACCACUGCUUGAAUAUUCUGAGCACACUUGUGUAAUUCUUGUGAGUCAAUAGUGUGACCACAGUUAGUGAUGCUUGUUUUAAAGAAUUCACAUGAGUUGUGUAGUGCUCUGAGCCAAUAAACUUCUCGUCUUUUUAACACUGUCUUAAGAUUUUGGAGAUGUUCCUUGUCAUCCUUGCUGGUAACAAUGAUGUCAUCCAGAUAAUACUGAGUGCCUGAGCAGCCUUGCAGCAACAGGCACAUAGCUUUCCACCAUUUGCAAAUGCUUAUGCUACUCCAAAAAAAAACUAUUAUAGUGAUAAAGCUGUCGUGAGUGUUUAUGGUGAGAAACACUUUGGACUUUUCUUCUAUCUCCAUCUGUAGGUAGGCUUCAGUUAAGUCCACUUUGUUGAAAUAUUUUCCUCCAGAAAUGUUUACAAAGAUAUUCUCUAUUGAUCUGCUUUCAGUACUGGGUUGAUAGUGUCCUUUAAAUCACCACAGAUUUUGACAGACCCAUUCUUCUGGACCACUGGGACCACUGGUGUUGCCCAUGGGCUCCACUCAACCUUGGAAAGAAUUCCUUCAGCCUCCAUGCAAUCUAGCUCACUGGCUAAUUUAUCAGAGAUGGUAUAUGGAACAGGACAGGCUUUGUAAAACUUGUAUAUGGCAUUUUCAUUUAACAUUAUUUUACCCUUGAAACGUUUGUGUUUUCCAUUGCCAUCCUUGAACACUGCUGUGGCCUUAGCCUCAUUCAGUCCCUUUCUUAAUUAGCUUUCAGUUGACUCCAUUGCAGGGAAUGCGGCAUGCAAAUGGUGGAUGGAUCUCCAAUCAAGUGUAGUUGCCUCAGUCACUAAUGUUCCCACAACACGGUCCCUCCUGUUUUUACCCCAAAAAAAUCCCAAUGUGGC